rnacentral:rRNA from 1 species
UACGUAGGGCGCAAGCGUUGUCCGGAAUUAUUGGGCGUAAAGAGCUCGUAGGCGGUUCGGUAAGUCAGAUGUAAAAACUCCAGGCUCAACUUGGAGAGGCCAUCUGAUACUGCCGUGACUAGAGUCCGGUAGAGGAGCACGGAAUUCCUGGUGUAGCGGUGAAAUGCGCAGAUAUCAGGAGGAACACCAGCGGCGAAGGCGGUGCUCUGGGCCGGAACUGACGCUGAGGAGCGAAAGCGUGGGGAGCGAACAGG